CCUACGGGCGGCAGCAGUGGGGAAUAUUGGGCAAUGGGCGCAAGCCUGACCCAGCAACGCCGCGUGAAGGAAGAAUGCCCUCCGGUUGUAAACUUUCUUUAUUCGGGACGAAACAUAUGACGGUACCGCAUGAAUAAGCCACGGUUAACUAUGUGCCAGCAGCCGCGGCAUUACGGAGGUGGCAAGCGUUAUUCGGAUUUACUGGGUGUAAAGGGAGUGUAGGGGGGAGGGCAAGUCAGAUGUGAAAUUCCGCGGCUCAAGCCUGGAAGUGCAUUUGAUACUGGUUUUCUUGAGUAAAGGUGAGGCAGGCGGAAUUCGGGGUGUAGCGGUGAAAUGCGUAGAUAUAACGAAGAACCCCGAUGGCGAAGGCAGCCUACUAAACUUUCACUGACACUGAGGCGCGAAAGCGUGGGGAGCAAACAGGAUUAGAUACCCGUGUAGUC
rnacentral:rRNA from 1 species